AGUGAACGCUGGCGGUAGGCCUAACACAUGCAAGUCGAACGGCAGCACAGUAAGAGCUUGCUCUUACGGGUGGCGAGUGGCGGACGGGUGAGGAAUACAUCGGAAUCUACUUUUUCGUGGGGGAUAACGUAGGGAAACUUACGCUAAUACCGCAUACGACCUACGGGUGAAAGCAGGGGAUCUUCGGACCUUGCGCGAUUGAAUGAGCCGAUGUCGGAUUAGCUAGUUGGCGGGGUAAAGGCCCACCAAGGCGACGAUCCGUAGCUGGUCUGAGAGGAUGAUCAGACACACUGGAACUGAGACACGGUACAGACUCCGACGGGAGGCAGCAGUGGGGAAUAUUGGACAAUGGGCGAAAGCCUGAUCCAGCAAUACCGCGUGAGUGAAGAAGGACUUAGGGUUGUAAAGCCCUGUUGUUGGGAAAGAAAAGCAGCAGGUUAAUACCCCGCUGUUAUGACGGUACCCAAAGAAUAAGCACCGGCUAACUUCGUG
rnacentral:rRNA from 1 species